ensembl:lincRNA
ACCUUCUGAGCACCAGAAGAGUGGAUACAUGUACAACAACUCCCUUUGACUGUUUUGUUUUGUUUUGUUUUGUUUUGUUUCAGAUCUCAGGCUGAGAAACCUGUUGUUGCUUCCAGCAAUGUCUCAUCACCUCUGCAAUAACUCAGCAACUCUGUGCACAAUGAGGAAGAGGAAAUUUGGAUGUAUGAAAGGACUCCAGGUAUGCACACAUGGAGGGAAGACAUGUGAAGACCCAGUGAGAAGGCUGGCCAUUUGCAAGAUUUCUGGAUCAAGAACUACUUCCAAGGAGCCUCAUCUGAAUCUAGAACUAUUGACUCAAUUCUUCUUGCAGAUGAGCCUUUUCAGGGCACUGGAAUGGGUAGAAGCUUACUAUAUUGACUAAUUGUAGCCAAAAAGCAAAGCAUGCUAUGCUGAAAAAAAAAAAAAUGCUGAUGAUAUUUCAGAGCUUCCCCCAGGAAGCUGUCAAGUCUACACCUCCAUCCCUUGAACUUCAGCUUGGCUGUGACUUGCUUUGACAAUGGAAUAUAUGUUAAAAGGAUACAAACAAAUGUUUACAGUGGGAUCACAUGCUAGGGCUCCCCCUCUUUUGCUGCUGGCAAUUUUGGGACUACCAUGCAAAGAAUCCCAAUAUAGCCUUCUGAAGAUGAGGGACAAUAAAGAGAGAGGUCUCAGCCACUGUCAUGACAGAAACUUAUAGCCAAGGUCUUGUCCUAUGAGUGAGGCCAUCCGAGACCACUCAGCCCUGGGCAACCCAGCCCAAAGAAUUCUGAACAAUAUUAAAUAUUGACUAUUUCAAGUCAUUAACAUUUAGGGUGGUUUGUUAUUCAGCAAAAGAUAAAUAAUACAAGUAAUAAUCUAUAGUCUGUGUAAAGCAAUUAUGAUUACGUUUGUUCUUAAUAUUCAGUGCCCUUACUGCUGAAUUAAUAACAUAGCUUCCCAAUAUUACUAAAGUAUUAGUUCACUUGUCUAAUUUAACUGUAAUUGGAACUUCUUGAACUCACCUUUUUCACUGCUUACAACUAAUGAUUUGUCACAAAGUUAGUGGUAUUGGUUUCGGACGAAGGACACAGUUCUCUAAAUAUUUCCUGCCUACACAGGCCUGGAAGAGAUUCUGAGCAGAGUGAAACAAAGAGCAAAGCCAGAGCAUGUGCUAGGGUGAUUCUUUCAGAGUCCAGUGACCCUAGUUCCUAGCUCUGAAACAAGGAUUUCUUGGCUUUGGAAAGUAAGGCAUAGCAUAGACUAUCUUUAGUGAUUUUAUAGGCUAGAAACUUCUCAGAUGGCUCAGUGGUAAAGAAUCCGCCUGCCAAUGCAGGAGAUGCUGGUCUGAUCCCUAGGUGGGGAAGAUCCUCUGGAGAAGGAUAUGGCAACCCACUCCAGUAUUCUUGCCUGGGAUAUCCCAUAGACAGAGGAGUCUGGCAAGCUACAGUCUGUGGCGUUGCAAAGAGCUAGACAUCUACACAAUAACAGGCUAGAAACAGUUGCUAGAGGUGCCAGAUAAUUCUUGAAAAAUGGAUGUUCAUUGUUAAUUUAAGAAGAGUUGUCUAAUCCCUUGCUACUCAAAGUAUGGUUCUCAGACCAUCCGCAUUGGCAUCACAUGGGAGCUUGCUAGAAAUUCAGAAUUGCAAGUCCUCUUCCAGAUACACUGAGUCAGACUCUACGUGUUAACAGAAUCCCUGGGAGACUGUGUAUACAUUAAAGUUUGGAAAGCAUUGGUCUAUUUUCUGGUCAAAAGCAUACAGGUCAUUCUACUAAACGUACUCAAAAUUUCCCCAAAGCUACUAACUGAAAUUGUAUGGUCCCUUCAACUCAGAGC